AAUUUGACAUGGGAACCUUCAAUGUGCCGAGUGAAACUCCCAAGUCUGAAUUUUCUUAUCCAAAACCCGGAGACAUGCGUCAAAUUGUUUUUUCUUUUUCGGGCACCAGAUUUUAAAAUGGACAGCCGCCGCAAAAGCCCAAAACUGAAAAGAUCCUCUCAGGAGUAUUUGCCGCUUAGGAGCGUCCUUGUUCGCUCUGGGUGUCCUAAUUUGCUGCCGCAUUUUAUCGAACAAGUGGUGUGCGGCGUUAUUGUUCUUCAAUAGCAAAAAAAGGCGGUCACACUCAAAGCUUGGUUCUUGUUUUUUCUUUGAAGGGAAAGCACUUCGCAUUUCAUCGCGGUCUGUUACAGUUAGUGAACUUCAGUGAUGCUGCUUUCUUCUGAGAGUAAAUGAAGGCAAUUCUAAAUGGUCUUGAAUUUUACCUUUCCAAAAUAUACCAAUUCACCAUCUUUUGUAAAAGCAAUUGUCAGCUUCACAAAUGUUUCUAGUACCCAAAGACAGAAGAUCUGGGGGUAUCUUGCUUUUCGUGGGAGGAAUUCUCUCAGUUGUAAUUUCAAAGAUAAGAACAGACAUUUGUAGAAGAACAGACAUCUGAACAAUUAUGCUAUUGCAAGACUACUGGAAAGUUAUCAUCCCAAACAGUGGACCGACUGCAAAGAGAUAUAUACUGAUGCACAACUGGAGAAUGAAAAGCUGUAAUUAGUACAAAUGCAGCAAUGUUGGUAAAGGACCAAUGUGAAGAAUACACAGAAAGCGAUAUUAAAUUUGUUUUCGAAGUUUGAUCUAGUGCACUAGUCAACCAAAGAAGAGAUGGGGGAGGAUUUGGUCAUGUAAAAGUGUCAGUAAAACAUAGAUUUGUCAGGUGUUUGGAGCAAUGUGAUCCAUAGCCAUGAGGGCUUGCUCUCUACGGGCGUCCAUCCUUCUCUGGUUGCGAUUUGCUUCUCCCAUCUUUGGUGGUUCUGCUUCCCUUUUUGAGUUUGAGUUGUAUUUUUGGCUUGUGAUUUUCGUGGGCUACAUGGUAGUCAACACCCAGGAGAUGAUUGAGAGGGCACACCUUGGUGAUCUGGACUACGUGAAGCAUCCCCUAACCCUUUUCACUGAUUUCAGUGCUGUUUUGUUCGCGCACACAUAAUCAGAGUAAUUUUGUCUCUAACCAGCUUAGAUACCAGCUUUCCUUUUAAUGGGUUCUUCCCCCGUUUUCGUUUUACAAUCUUCCUGCUCUGCUAUCUCAGCAGAAAAACCCAUCUAGGGAUUUGCAACCUCCGCUGCCACAGCCACAACUAGCUUCAAAUUUAUCAAGCCGAUAAGAAUCCAUUCUCUAUAAGUUGUAUUAGACAUUUACAAGAUUAGGUGUAUCACCUGGAAGUGUCUCUUCUUACAAAAGUGUAGAACAAGAAAAAGGCUGGGAAAGUGUUCCUUUACUGCAUCAGGCCACAGUUUGUGACGGCUACCUUGGCGUAUGGGGGGUUGAAUCCUCUUUCUGCCACAACAGCUCUCUUAUCUCCUGUCUGCGUGAUUGGCUAAGACCUUCAGAAGCUGUGUUCUUUCAGAUUUGGGAGCUUGUCAUGUUUCGAAAGAAGAUGGAGAGAGAGAGACAACAUGGUUAGAAGAAGAGGAAGAGGAAGAAGUUUGUUUUCCAUCAUCCGUCAUAGCUUCAAUUUGGUUGAAUAAAUUAUAAAAUGCAAUAAAAUGCAUGAGUUCCUCUGA